GAUAUGGUUCCUCUUAUGAGCAAACCAAAACAUAUGGUCCCAUCUCUAACCAAAAAGGGGGCUCGGUUUUUAUUUACUAGAUUCUUGAGACAUUUCAUAUCAACCGGUUGUGUAACAGUAUAUGAAGGAGGAACAAUGUUCACUUUCAAAGGAAAGGAUUUGAGAUGUAACUUAGAAUCUGUCAUGGAGAUUCACAAUCCUCAUUUUUACUGGAAGGUUAUGACAUAAGCAGAUUUAGGACUUGCCGAUGCCUAAAUAAAUGGAGAUUCUUCGUUUGUUAAUAAAGAAAAAGGACUUCUCAAUUUGAUCAUGAUUCUCAUUGCUAACAGAGAAUUGAACUCAAAGAACUUAAAUCUUGCUAAGAAAAGGGGUUGGUGGACACCGAUGUUUAUGACUGCUGGUUUA